GAGCAAAUGACGAAAAAGAUAAAUACAUCACACUGAUUGUAUACUCCAUGAAGCUUCAAAAUUCGAGCUUUUUAAAACUGAUGCUCA